rnacentral:rRNA from 1 species
ACUCCUACGGGAGGCAGCAGUGGGGAAUAUUGCACAAUGGGCGCAAGCCUGAUGCAGCCAUGCCGCGUGUGUGAAGAAGGCCUUCGGGUUGAUAAAGCACUUUCAGUCGUGAGGAAGGUAGUGUAGUUAAUAGCCGCAUUUUAACUUGGUACGUUAGCGAACAGAAGAAGCACCGGCUAACUCCGUGCCAGCAGCCGCGGUAAUACGGAGGGUGCGAGCGUUAAUCGGAAUUACUGGGCGUAAAGCGCAUGCAGGUGGUUUGUUAAGUCAGAUGUGAAAGCCCGGGGCUCAACCUCGGAAUUGCAUUUGAAACUGGCAGACUAGAGUACUGUAGAGGGGGGUAGAAUUUCAGGUGUAGCGGUGAAAUGCGUAGAGAUCUGAA